AUGGCCGAAGAGAUAAGGUUUCCUAUCGUCAUCCUCAAUGCAUCUGGAAUCAAUCGAUUUGUUCGGUAUGCACAUAUAGCACCGGCACCGCCGCUGCGUACCAGUGUAACCGGGAGAAGGAGAGACCGGGGGUGGGCGGGUGGCGCCAGAGGGCUUGCUCGUCCAACGCCGCGCGCCAGAGGGCGCUGCCUGGCGUCGCUGCGUCCUCGGCCGCUGCGUCGACGUUGCUGUACCCUCCAGUACAGGCGGCGUGUCCUCGGGGUAACCAAUGGCCGGCGCCUAGAACGGCGAUCUCCACCGCGGCGGCACCGGUAG
rnacentral:rRNA from 1 species